AAUUCAUAUGUAAAUAAAGCAAAAUUUAAAAUAUGCAAAAAGUUAGCUCAGAUAAGUUCCGUAGAAUUUGCAGCAUGUAAGAAUAGCUUAAAGCAAUGUGGUAAUAAUGCUGGGUCAGAGAAUUCUUAUAUGAUUCUAAUGUUUUACAGCCAAAUCAGAGCUGGUUUUGUAUCUCCAUGCCAACUAUUUCCAAUGUGCUCUUGAAAAUUUUAGGAAAGCUUGACAGCACUUUAUGAUAACUAUUUAAUAUUUGCCUUGAUAAUCAUGAAGAAUGUGCUUAUUUUCACUGGUUGCUACACAGAUUGAUAUCUUCAGUCACUACACACAAGAGAAGCAGGAUUGGCAUUGCAUCCAUCAACUGUGGAAGGAUAAGACAUCAGCAUGGAUAAAUUUGUUUAGCAGAGAGAUCUUUUAUGUCUCCAACUGCAAGCAAGAAACUGUACCAGUGCUCUCAAAGCCUAUUUUUGUGCUUACUAGGCUUGUUGCUGGUUCGAGAAUUAAUCAUAAGAGUAGCCAAGUAUACAGCUAGGUAAGGGCACACCCUCCCAGUGGAAUGCGGCGACAGAAGGCAACAGGCUGGAUAAUCUGUAACUAAUGGUGGAUACUGGGCAGAAGGAAACAGGAUGGAUAAUCUAUAACUAAUGGUGGAUACUGGUGUCCGGAGCUCAAGAUUGUAAAUAAGAUUCCGAAUCUUCGUACUGCAAGAUAGGAAUCAGCUUGCUGUCUCUCAUCCUGGAACAUAGGGUUUGGUUUUUCUGUUUCAUAUGGUGGGCUUUGGUUAAUGUAUUUCUGAGCCUUUGUGCUUGCUAGCUUGUAGAAUUGCUUGUAACCCUCUAAUAAAAAUUGCUGGCAGAGAGCUAUUCGGUGGCA
rnacentral:lncRNA from 1 species